AUCAGUAUGGUCCCCUCAAUCCCUUUGUGUUUCAGGUACUUCUGGGGUGGCACCUGGCACAACAGUGGCUCCUGGACGUUUCAGCACAAGUGAGUCCACAGGGUGGUGGAGAAUCCUUUCCUGGUGUCUGCCUUGGGGUGUUUCAGUGCAGAAGCACCACCAUUUCAUUCCAUCCCCUGCCCCCUGAAUCUUUUCCAUUCAUGUCCUUCCUCUCCCAGCAGCAACAACUUCUCCUGGAUCAAGUGGAAUGGCUGGGCUUAACAGCCAUUUAAAGACCACAACUUCCCUAGGUGGAAUUGGUACCACUAGAACUGAAAUAAAAUCAGGAGCCACCACUGGAGCACCGGGAAGUGAGACAGGCACAGCUGGAGUGCCCUCUGCUACAACAGUAGCCCCUGGGAGCUCGAACUCAGGUAUUACUGAGGGCAUCUCUGGAAAAACUCUGGAAGCUGGAGGUGCCCACACAGAAGCCACGACUUUCUCAGGAGGCAGCGGGACCACUCGAGCAGGCCCACCAGGAGGUAUCACUGGAGAGUCUUCUCGAAUGACCAUUAUAUCUGGAAGUUCUAACACAGAGGCUGCAACUUCCAUUGAAGAGACUGGUACUUCUGGAACUGGAUUCAAAACUGCAGGCAUCACUACAGCUCCAGGAAAGCAAGCAGGCACCUCUGAGAUGGCACCUGACACAAUAGUUGCCCCUGGAAGUUUCAGCACAGCAGCUACAACUUCUCCUGGAGCAAGUGGAGUGACUGGCACUGGACCCACUGCAGGAGCCACCACUGGAGCACCAGGAAGUAAGACAGGCACAGCUGGAGUGCCCUCAGCUACAACAGUUGCCCCUGGGAGCUCUAAUUCAGAGGCUACAACUUUCUCUGGAAUCAGUGAAGCAGUAACAGUCCCAGGAUCCAUGACCACUGCCCUGGGAAGCCAGCUGUCCAGCAGUCAAACAGUGAUUCCAGGUGCUAGCAGUGUCAUCUCUCACACAACUGUUGAACCUGGAAGUUCUGUUAUAAGCACUACUGGUGUGGCCUUGAGCACAACUGUUGCACCUGGAAGUUUCAGUACAGAAGCCGCAACUUCCACGGGAUUCGGUAGAACCACUGUAGUGGGAUGGAGAACAGGAGCUACUGCUGGAGGAUCAGCAAACCAAGGAACUGGAAGCACAAUAGAGAUAUCAGGUGGUCAAGUCACUAGCACUCAACUAGAAGCUACCAGUGGCACAUCUGAGAGACAAAACCCUGGAAGUGAAAUAGGCACCACUGGUAUAGUCUCUGGCACAACAGUUGCAUCUGGAAGUUCCAAUACAGAGGCCACAACUUCUUUGGGCAAUGGUGGAACCACUGAGGCUGGAAGUAAAAUAGUUACCACUGGGAUAACUACUGGCACAACCAUUGUACCUGGGAGUUCCAACACAAAUGCUACGGCUUCUACAGAUGUUGGAGCUACCAUUGGAGUUGGAAUAGCAACUGUUUCUUCCAAGGGAGCAUCUGACACAACCACUGCUCCUGGACCUCCUACCACAGCAGUCACAGCUUCCACAGGAGUAAAAGAAACCUCUAGAACUGGAGUGCAAACAGGCUCCACCUUGGUUGCAGCUGGAGUCACAAGACCACAAGUAUCCCAGCCAGAUACCACUGUCGUAACAACCAAAGAACGAGAAACUGAAAACAAAACAGAAUGUCUAAUAUCACUUCCACCAGCUCCAGGUAAGAAUACCAUGACUUCAGAAUCAUUCUGCAUUAAUGGUUUCUCCUGUAAAUCCGGUUUCUCAGAGGUCACGCUUGUAAAAGUCACUAGCCACGUAACUGUUAUAGGAAAACUUGUAUUGGAUUAACUUAGCUUUUAUUUGUCAAAUAAAAGCUGAGUAAUAGUUCAUUUCCUCAUUCACAAACCAAUGAAGCCCAAACAAACAAAUAUACCUUGUUAUUUAGAUCAAAACAAGGUUUACCUACUAAAGGUUUCAUAUAAUUAUGAUACCUUGACCAAAAUAUUGUCACUUGAUAGUGAGCAUUUU
ensembl:lincRNA